rnacentral:tRNA from 1 species
GGGCGCAUAGCUCAGUGGCAGAGCGCUUGCCUUACAAGCAAGAUGUCACAGGUUCGAACCCUGUUGCGCCCA